GAUGAACGCUGGCGGCGUGCCUAAUACAUGCAAGUCGAGCGAACAGACGAUGAGCUUGCUCCUCUGACGUUAGCGGCGGACGGGUGAGUAACACGUGGAUAACCUCCCUAUAAUACUGGGAUAACUUCGGGAAACCUGAGCUAAUACCGGAUAACAUGCUGAACCGCAUGGUUCAACAGUUAAAGACGUGCUUGCGGUCACUUAUAGAUGGAUCCGCGCGGCAUUAGCUAGUUGGUCAGGUAACGGCUUACCAAGGCAACGAUGCGUAGCCGACCUGAAAGAGUGAUAGGCCACACGAGAACGGGAACACGGACACGAGUACUACGGGAGGCAGCAGUAGGGAAUCUUCCGCAGUGGGCGAAAGCCUGACGGAGCGACGCCGCGUGAGUGAAGAAGGUCUUCGGAUCGUAAAACUCUGUUAUUAGGGAAGAACAAAUGUGUAAGGAACUAUGCACGUAUUGACGGUACCUAAACAGAAAGCCACGGCUAACUACGUG
rnacentral:rRNA from 1 species